UCUUCUGAAUGAUGUUUUAUAAUUUGCGAUCGAGGGCAAGUCAUCUCGGAACAUGCCUAGUUCCAUUAUGGGAGUCUUGUGGAAUGCGAAUAACUUUCGGUCUGACUAUUAU
rfam:Kluyveromyces marxianus DMKT3-1042 DNA, complete genome, chromosome 3.